UAUUGGGUUAGAACAGUUCUAGAAGACAGGGUUAUAGGGUUAGAACAGUUCUAGAAGACAGGGUUAUAGGGUUAGAACAGUUCUAGAAGACAGGGUUAUAGGGUUAGAACAGUUCUAGAAGACAGGGUUAGAACAGUUCUAGAAGACAGGGUUAGAACAGUUCUAGAAGACAGGUUUAGAACCGUUCUAGACAGGUUAGAACAGUCUAGAAGACAGGGUUUAGAACAGUUCUAGAGACGGGUUAGAAAAAUUCUAGACGACAGAGUUCUUGGGUUAGACAAGUACUAAUGGGGUCCAUAAGAACCCCAAAUACGAAAUACAAAUGACCUGUUUGUAACAGGGUCUCUUUCCAUUCAUUAAAUGGCGCGUGCCACAGUGCACUGUUUGGAUGCUGGGAUUAUUUGGAGUGGACGAACGUGAGCAGCCGGAGGUAGCCUACUUUUGAAGUGAUUUAUUUGACAAUCGAAUGAAAUCAUCAUGACUGGUUGUGUUCUGCCAC
ensembl:lncRNA